GGGUCGAUGCCCGAGUGGUUAAUGGGAUUGGAUUGUAAAUCCAACGGUAAAACUACGCAGGUUCGAAUCCUGCUCGGCCCA
rnacentral:tRNA from 1 species